AGCCAGCCACAGCUCAGCCUGCGGCCUGGGCUCGGGGCCCAGAGGCGCCGGGGGCGGGGCAUCCGGCCACCCCACAGCUGCUGAAGCGAUUCUGGGAGGGCUGCUAGGCCAGCUGGCCUGCCGAGCAGGGAGACCCUCGGUCCAGCUGCCCUGGGCUCAGGCCGUUCCAGUUAACCCCUGCAGGCCGAGAGGGAAGGAGCUGCUGAGCGAGUCAGCUCCCCUGCAGAAGCUGUGGGACCUCAGAGACAAACUGAGUUGAAUCCUUAGGUCAGGAGUGAAGCCAGGAACAGGAAGGCGGCUCACCUGGAGGCAGACUUCUACCUGGAAACAGACCGGCAAUGAGAAAAGGGGGGUGUCCGGCCUUAGUUUACCCUUCUGUAAAAUGGAGCAAGAACUUUUGACAGAGAUCGCUGCAAGUGAGUUGGAGCGGACAAAGUACCUGGUGCCUAGUUGGGACAUUCUCAGCCACUGCUGCAGAGGUACAGGGGCCAGGGCAAGUGUGGAGCAGGUGACAGUCAUGCCAUCAGAACUGCUCUCUCUGCCAGCUCUCUGGGACUUGCAACACUCCUGCAAAUAGUAAACCUGCACUGCUAUUGUGCCCAUGUUACAUAUGAGAAGCUUGAGACUCAGAGAGACCAGGUGCUUUGCUCAUGGGAAGCCACCAGGACAGGAUUUGAGUCAGGACCUUUGACAUUGCAUCAAACUGCUGCCUUGGCCGGCUGCUCCAGGGACCUUCUGACUACAAUGAUGUGUCACUUUCAGCCAGGUCACCUUUGAGAGUGAAAGCAAGUGCUAUUAAUAAUUGCAUUGGGACAAUAGAUGUCCUGGGCAAAGUAGAGGCUUUGGACAAGUCACUUCAGUUCUCUACAAAAGGGACAUGAUGACGGUAUGGUCCUGGUGGGGCUCUCACAAAGGUUCGAUGUGAUAAUGUAUACAAGGGGCUAAAAGGCCUGGUAUGGCCAGGCACAGUGGCACACACCUGUCAUCCCAGCGAUUUGGGAGGCUGAGGCAGGAGGAUCCCAAGUUUAAGGCCAGACUCAGCAACUUAGAGAGGCCCUAAGCAA